UAGUCCACGCCGUAAACGAUGAGUGCUAGCUGUUGGAUUUUCGGAUUCAGUGGCGCAGUUAACGCAUUAAGCACUCCGCCUGGGGAGUACGGUCGCAAGAUUAAAACUCAAAGGAAUUGACGGGGACCCGCACAAGCGGUGGAGCAUGUGGUUUAAUUCGAGGCAACGCGAAGAACCUUACCAGCUCUUGAAUCCCGAUCGCGAUUAGAGGAGACUCUUUUCUUCAGCUUGGCUGGAUCGGUGACAGGUGGUGCACGGCUGUCGUCAGCUCGUGUCGUGAGAUGUUGGGUUAAGUCCCGCAACGAGCGCAACCCUCAUCCUUAGUUGCUAACAUUUAGUUGAGAACUCUAAGGAAACCGCCGGUGUUAAACCGGAGGAAGGUGAGGACGACGUCAAGUCAUCAUGCCCCUUACGGGCUGGGCUACACACGUGCUACAAUGGCAGUGACAAUGGGUUAAUCCAUAAAAACUGUCUCAGUUCGGAUUGUCGGCUGCAACUCGCCGGCA
rnacentral:rRNA from 1 species